GAUGAAGAACGUAGCGAAAUGCGAUACUUGGUGUGAAUUGCAGAAUCCCGUGAACCAUCGAGUCUUUGAACGCAAGUUGCGCCCGAAGCCAUUAGGCCGAGGGCACGCCUGCCUGGGCGUCACACGUCGUUGCCCCCCCAUCUACUCCUUCGGGAUUGCGGGGGGCGGAUGAUGGCCUCCCGUGCGCCACGCCGCGCGGUUGGCAUAAAUGCCAAUUCCUCGGCGACGCACGCCACGACAAUCGGUGGUUGCGAAACCUCGGUUGCCCGUCGUGUGCGGUCGUCGCGCAUCGAGGGCUCGAAAAAAUUGCCGGGUUCCGGCUCGGCUUUCAACGCGACCCCAGGUCAGGCGGGGUUACCCGCUGAAUUUAAGCAUAUCAAUAAGCGGAGGA
rnacentral:misc_RNA from 1 species